rnacentral:rRNA from 1 species
UUGGAGGGCAAGUCUGGUGCCAGCAGCCGCGGUAAUUCCAGCUCCAAUAGCGUAUAUUAAAGUUGUUGCAGUUAAAAAGCUCGUAGUUGAACUUCGGGAUCAAUGGAUCGGUCAUGCCGUUGGCAUGUACUGGUCACAUUGGUUCCCACCUUCUAAGGAACCAUGAUGUCAUUCAUUUGAUGUUGCGGGGAAUUAGGACUGUUACCUUGAAAAAAUUAGAGUGUUUAAAGCAGGCUAGCGCUUGAAUACAUUAGCAUGGAAUAAUGAAAUAGGACAUCGCAUUCUAUUUUGUUGGUUUCUAGGAUCGAUGUAAUGAUUAAUAGGGAUAGUUGGGGGCAUUAGUAUUCAAUUGUCAGAGGUGAAAUUCUUGGAUUUAUUGAAGACUAACUACUGCGAAAGCAUUUGCCAAGGAUGUUUUCAUUAAUCAAGAACGAAAGUUAGGGGAUCGAAGACGAUCAGAUACCGUCGUAGUCUUAACCAUAAACUAUGCCGACUAGGGAUCGGAUGAUGUUGAUUUUUUAAUGACUCAUUCGGCGCCUUACGGGAAAC